CAAUCUUGAAGCAUGGAUUCCGAUUUGGUCAGACCAGUUCUGGUUAUAGACACGUCCCUCAAACAGCCUUCUUCCGCUCGCUCGAGAACUAAAUUAAGAAACAAGUUGAGAUCGGAUCAUGGAAACACGCGACCGGUAGAGAGAUGAUUCUGAAAGUAUUGCUCAUUGUUUGACAAAGUAACUGUAUUAAAAAAAGUUGACAAAGUUAUGUGUUACUUUACUCUGUUACUCAUAUACAGUAAGUAAUCUGAUUACGUAACGCGUUACAAAAGUGAUGAUGGCCAGUACAGCAUGUGAGUUUACUGAUUUUUACAUCAACAACGCUAAAAUAGAUUUAAAAUGUGUGUUUUAAGUUGUGUGUGUGUUCAGUCCGAGUACUGUAGUCCGGGUUCAGUCCGACCAUCGUUAUGACCACAUCUGGCUGUGUAACCUACAUCCCUACUCUCUCUGGUAUUUUCCCAGCAGCCUCUAUAAUGCGGCCCCCUCUGACGCGCAGCAGCAGCCUGUGUCGGUCCCGCCGGAGUCUCUACAGCACCCCGCAGCCUUCAAUGAUGUCUGCCGACCCUGACCUGCUCUCUAUGUCCAGCCCACCCCUCUCCUACCACCCAGAGGGUGAAGAAGAACACAUCCUCUUCAUCGAGAGAAAGGGGGACACUCAGGAUACAUCCUCAGACACAGACUCUCUCAACUCCUCCAUGGGACGGAAACAGUCCUAUGCCAACCCCUGCACGCCAGGCCCAGAGCCCCCCUACCGCAAGAUCUCCCGCGAGGAGUUGAUGAUGCUGAGCCAGCAGGAGCCUCAGACUUACAUCCGGGACUCACCCCCUCCUCAAGGGGGAGUUGCGUCCCUCUCGACUUCCUCCUCGGCCAACCCCUCCCCUGCCCUGGAGCACCACUCACACUCCCACACCCACACGCACUCGCACAAACACAAGGGCUCACCCGACCUCACCCGUGGCUCCAUCCCAGAGUCCCACAGCAUGUCCUUCACCACCCCGACGGCGGGCAACAAGGCCGUAUUCAACGGCAUCCUGGAGAAGUCCUAUAGCAUGGGCCAGCUGCCCGCGGGCAUGACGGGGGCAGGGGGGGUGGUGGUGGUGGUGGGGCGCAACCCAUCCCUCACCUCACUGGAUAAUGAGGGCAGGGGGGCGGGGGGCAAGGAGAAGAAACUACAGAGGACCUCUUCUCAGGACUCCUGUGACAACGGAGACAAGACCAAGAAGUCCUCGUCCAAGAUCAAGAGCUUGUUCAAGAAGAAAAAGUAG
rnacentral:lncRNA from 1 species